UACGGAGGGUGCGAGCGUUGUCCGGAAUCACUGGGCGUAAAGGGCGCGUAGGCGGCGCGGGAAGUCAUCGGUGAAAGCUCAGGGCUCAACUCUGAGUCGGCCGGUGAUACUCUCGUGCUUGAGCACUGUAGAGGCAGGUGGAAUUCCGGGUGCAGCGGUGGAAUGCGUAGAGAUGUGGAGGAAUACCGAUGGCGAAGGCAGCCUCCUGGGCCAACACUGACGCUCAUGCACGAAAGCGUGGGGAGCAAACAGG
rnacentral:rRNA from 1 species